GGCGUUUUAGAAUUUGGCACCAAACCAAACCAGCGUCAAAGAAAAGG
rnacentral:misc_RNA from 1 species